UGCGAGUCUGUCAGGUUGCCUAGCAACAGAGCUGGGCUUCACCUGUGAGAUUUCUGCAAUACUUCGUUUGAAUUCAAUCUUAACGUCUUCUAAUUUCCAGAGCAGCCAAACGCGCCUGCAUGACAAGUUUGAGCAGGAUGUCACUCAGAAUUUGUAAAUGUGAAGGAGUGACUUAAACCUAACUAGAGGCUUUGAAAGAAGACACUAGGGAUAUACUGCCCCCUUCCUGUUAAGAUCCGCGUACCUGCAGAAAGAGGGUGCUCCCGGCGGUUCUUCACCAGAGAGAGAGAGCAUGAGCAGGAAGGGCAGAGGGAG